rnacentral:rRNA from 1 species
AAACUUAAAGGAAUUGACGGGGGCCCGCACAAGCGGCGGAGCGUGCGGAUUAAUUCGAUGCAACGCGAAGAACCUUACCAAGGCUUGACAUAUACUGGAUCGCCAUAGAGAUAUGGUUUCCCUUCGGGGCUGGUAUACAGGUGGUGCAUGGUUGUCGUCAGCUCGUGUCGUGAGAUGUUGGGUUAAGUCCCGCAACGAGCGCAACCCUCGUUCUAUGUUGCCAGCAUUAGGUUGGGGACUCAUAGGAGACUGCCGGGGUUAACUCGGAGGAAGGUGGGGACGACGUCAAAUCAUCAUGCCCCUUAUGUCUUGGGCUUCACGCGCGCUACAAUGGCCGGUACAACGGGUUGCGAUACUGUAAGGUGGAGCUAAUCCCUAAAAGCCGGUCUCAGUUCGGAUUGAGGUCUGCAACUCGACCUCAUGAAGUUGGAGUCGCUAGUAAUCGCAGAUCAGCUAUGCUGCGGUGAAUACGUUCCCGGGCCUUGUACACACCGCUCGUCAAGUCACGAAAGUGGGUAACACCCGAAGCCGGUGGCCUAACCUUUUUGGGAGGAGCUGUCUAAGGUGGGACUCGCGAUUGGGACUAAGUCGUAACAAGGUAGCCGUACCGGAAGGUGCGGCUGGAUCACCUCCUUUAUG